UACGGAGGGUGCAAGCGUUAUCCGGAUUCACUGGGUUUAAAGGGUGCGUAGGAGGGCAGGUAAGUCAGUGGUGAAAUCUUCGAGCUUAACUCGGAAACUGCCGUUGAUACUAUCUGUCUUGAAUACCGUGGAGGUGAGCGGAAUAUGUCAUGUAGCGGUGAAAUGCUUAGAUAUGACAUAGAACACCAAUUGCGAAGGCAGCUCGCUACACGAAUAUUGACUCUGAGGCACGAAAGCGUGGGGAUCAAACUGG
rnacentral:rRNA from 1 species